ACUCCUACGGGAGGCAGCAGUCGGGAAUUUUGCGCAAUGGACGAAAGUCUGACGCAGCAACGCCGCGUGAGGGAUGAAGGCCUUCGGGUUGUAAACCUCUUUUCUCAGGGACGAUAAUGACGGUACCUGAGGAAUAAGCCACGGCUAACUACGUGCCAGCAGCCGCGGUAAUACGUAGGAGGCGAGCGUUAUCCGGAUUUACUGGGCG
rnacentral:rRNA from 1 species